GAGAGCAGAGAGAGGGGGAGACAGAGAGAGAGAGGAUGGUAGAGAGAGGGGGCAGAGAGAGAAGAGAGCAGAGAGAGAGAGAGAUACUUAGAGAGAGAGAGAGCUACAGAGAGAGAGAGAGAUACAGAGAGAUACAGAGAGAGAGAGAGAGAGAGAGAGAGAAGGAGAACUCUUCUACCUGUUGAAACCAUUGGCCCUUCUGCCUCUGGCUCCCCUCCACCACCUUUUAUUUAUGGUUGGAGGCUUGGUGUCUUUAACAGUCUGGCUCUAUGUGUUAAUAGACAGAGAGACUGAAGUCUAAUACACAAGCCAGAGCCUAAAGCAUCUCAGCCUCACCACAGA
ensembl:lncRNA